rnacentral:rRNA from 1 species
GACGAACGCUGGCGGCGGGCCUAAUACAUGCAAGUAGAACGCAGUUGCGAACGGGUGAGUAACGCGUAGGUAACUGCCUCAUAGCGGGGGAUAACUAUUGGAAACGAUAGCUAAUACCGCAUACGGUGAGAUGGACCUGCGUUGUAUUAGCUAGUUGGUGAGGGAAAGGCUGACCAAGGCCACGAUACCCACCCGACCUGAGAGGGUGAGCGGCCACACUUGUGAUGAGGCACGGCCCAGAAUCCCACGGGAGGCAGCAGUAGGGAAUCAUUGGCAAUGGGGGGAAGUCUGACCGAGCAACGCCCGGGUAGUGAAGAAGGUUUUCGGAUCGUAAAGCUCUGUUGUUAGAGAAGCGGUACCUAAACAAAAAGGGACGGCUAACUACGUGCCAGCAGCCGCGGUAAUAC